rfam:Streptomyces sp. H-KF8 tig00000002, whole genome shotgun sequence.
ACGCCGCCCCGAGCGGCGUCCACGGCUCCGAGGAGCCCGUGCGGCGGGGGUGGUGCCGUGUCGGCGCAGCACCACCCCCGCGUC